rnacentral:rRNA from 1 species
CCUACGGGAGGCAGCAGUGAGGAAUAUUGGUCAAUGGGCGAGAGCCUGAACCAGCCAAGUCGCGUGAGGGAGUACUGCCCUAUGGGUUGUAAACCUCUUUUGUCGGGGAGCAAAAGCCGGACGUGUCCGGCUGUGAGAGUACCCGAAGAAAAAGCAUCGGCUAACUCCGUACCAGCAGCCGCGGUAAUACGGAGGAUGCGAGCGUUAUCCGGAUUUAUUGGGUUUAAAGGGUGCGCAGGCGGAUUUUUAAGUCAGCGGUAAAAUCGUGGGUGUAAACCCGAUCCAGCCGUUGAAACUGGGGAUCUAGAGUGUGCGAGAGGUAUGCGGAAUGCGUGGUGUAGCGGUGAAAUGCAUAGAUAUCACGCAGAACCCCGAUUGCGAAGGCAGCAUACCGGUGCACAACUGACGCUCAGGCACGAAAGCGUGGGUAUCGAACAGGAUUAGAUACCCGUGUAGUC